CGAGGAAUCCACUCUUCACGUUGCCAUGCUGCCAUGGCUGGCCUUCGGGCACAUGAAUCCAUUCAUCCAUCUCGCAGCAGCCCUCGCCGACGCCGGUCUCCGUAUCUCCUUCCUCUGCACACCUAACAACAACCGCCGCCUGGCCCAACUCCUCCCACCCCAUCUCCUCCCCCGCAUCAACUUCGUCGACCUCCCCCUCCCGCCUGUCCCCGGCCUACUCCCACAAAUAGAGGCCACUGUUGACGCCUCUGCUGACGAGAUCCAGCAUCUCAAGACCGCCUAUGACCUCUUACAACAACCCAUUAGCAGGUUCAUCGCCGAUUCUGCUCCUGACUUCCUUAUCCACGAUGCACUCACCCACUGGGCAUCCGCCCUCAGAGUUCCGUGCAUCUUGUUCUCUGUCUACUCGGCCUCCACCUUGGCCUUCUGGGGACCGCCGGAGGCAUCCACUGAGGAGGGCCGACUCCGUUGGCGGCCUACGCCGCAGAGCCUCACCGAGACCCCAGAAUGGAUCCCGUUCCCUUCCAGUGUAGCAUUUCGCCAACGUGAGGCGGACAUCUUCUAUGCUGGCGUCUUUGUCGAAAACUCCUCUGGCGUGCACGACGCUGACCGGAUAAGGCUGGCCAUCGAAGGAUGUCAGGCGGUGGCAGUACGUAGUUGCACAGAGUACGAAGGUGAGUACCUGGAGCUGCUGCCAAGGUUGUAUGGAAAACCGGUGCUGACCGUCGGGCUGCUUCCACCGCCGCCGGCCACAGCCUCUGGAGGCGGCGGUGACAUCAUCAGCUGGCUGGACCGACAGCCACCCAAGUCGGUGGUGUUCGUCUGCUUUGGUAGCGAGUACAAGCUGACAAAUGCUGAGGUGGAGGAGCUGGCUCAUGGGAUCGAGAAAUCUCAAGUCCCCUUCUUGUGGGCCUUGAGGGGCUUUGGAGAAGAGGCCCUACCAAAUGGGUUCAUGGGCCGGAUCUCGGGCCGUGGAUUGGUGAGAUUCGGAUGGGUCCCACAGCUGGAGAUUCUGGCCCACGGUUCUGUAGGUGGGUCGUUAUUCCACUCCGGUUGGGGUUCGGUAAUCGAGACAAUGUGUCACGGGCAUGCGAUGGUGUUAUUGCCAUCGAUGGUUGAUCAAGGGUUGAUUGCUAGAUUGUUGGUGGAGAAGGGUUUAGCGGUUGAGGUAGAGAGGAGCAAUGAUGAUGGUUCAUUUAAGGGAGAGGAUAUUGCAAUGUCAUUGAAGGCAUCAAUGGCUUUUGACAAAGGAGAGGUAUGGAGGACGAAAGCGAGAGAGAUGGCUAAUGUGUUCGCUGAUCGAGCGAUUCAUGCUAAUUAUGUCAAGGGUUUCGUGGACUACCUCCUUAAAGCUAAGGGGGUGCACUAGACAAAUUAUUAAGUCG
rnacentral:misc_RNA from 1 species